rnacentral:rRNA from 1 species
UAGUCCACGCCGUAAACGAUGUCUAUUAGCCGUUGGGUCUGUUAUGGACUUGGUGGCGAAGCUAACGCGAUAAAUAGACCGCCUGGGGAGUACGGCCGCAAGGUUAAAACUCAAAUGAAUUGACGGGGGCCCGCACAAGCGGUGGAGCAUGUGGUUUAAUUCGAAGCAACGCGAAGAACCUUACCUACUCUUGAAAUCCAGUGAACUGAGCAGAGAUGCUUAGGUGCCUUCGGGAACACUGAGACAGGUGCUGCAUGGCUGUCGUCAGCUCGUGUUGUGAAAUGUUGGGUUAAGUCCCGUAACGAGCGCAACCCUUAUCCUUAGUUGCCAGCGAGUAAUGUCGGGGACUCUAAGGAGACUGCCGGUGAUAAGCCGGAGGAAGGCGGGGAUGACGUCAAGUCAGCAUGGCCCUUACGAGUAGGGCUACACACGUGCUACAAUGGUCGGUACAGACGGUUGCGAAGUCGCGAGAUGGAGCUAAUCUGAGAAAGCCGAUCGUAGUCCGGAUUGG